rnacentral:rRNA from 1 species
AGUGAACGCUGGCGGUAGGCCUAACACAUGCAAGUCGAACGGCAGCACAGUAAGAGCUUGCUCUUACGGGUGGCGAGUGGCGGACGGGUGAGGAAUACAUCGGAAUCUACUUUUUCGUGGGGGAUAACGUAGGGAAACUUACGCUAAUACCGCAUACGACCUACGGGUGAAAGCAGGGGAUCUUCGGCCUUGCGCGAUUGAAUGAGCCGAUGUCGGAUUAGCUAGUUGGCGGGGUAAAGGCCCACCAAGGCGACGAUCCGUAGCUGGUCUGAGAGGAUGAUCAGCCACACUGGAACUGAGACACGGUCCAGACUCCUACGGGAGGCAGCAGUGGAGAAUAUUGGACAAUGGGCGCAAGCCUGAUCCAGCCAUACCGCGUGGGUGAAGAAGGCCUUCGGGUUGUAAAGCCCUUUUGUUGGGAAAGAAAAGCAGCAGGUUAAUACCCCGCUGUUCUGACGGUACCCAAAGAAUAAGCACCGGCUAACUUCGUG